UACGUAGGUGGCGAGCGUUGUCCGGAUUUACUGGGCGUAAAGCGCGCGCAGGCGGGCUGGUCAGUCCGGGGUGAAAUCUCACGGCUCAACCGUGAGCGGUCCCCGGAUACUGCCAGUCUUGAGGUGUCUAGAGGAGAGCGGAAUUCCCGGUGUAGUGGUGGAAUGCGUAGAUAUCGGGAGGAACACCAGUGGCGAAGGCGGCGACCUGGGCAGAUACUGACGCUGAGGUGCGAAAGCGUGGGGAGCAAACAGG
rnacentral:rRNA from 1 species